AAGGUACGGGAGGCAGCAGUGAGGAAUAUUGGACAAUGGGUGGAAGCCUGAUCCAGCCAUCCCGCGUGAAGGAAGACGGUUCUAUGGAUUGUAAACUUCUUUUAUACAGGGAUAAACCUACUCUCGUGAGGGUAGCUGAAGGUACUGUAUGAAUAAGCACCGGCUAACUCCGUGCCAGCAGCCGCGGUAAUCCUU
rnacentral:rRNA from 1 species